UCAAACUUGGUCAUUUAGAGGAAGUAAAAGUCGUAACAAGGUUUCCGUAGGUGAACCUGCGGAAGGAUCAUUAACAAAUCAAUUGUGCUACGGAGCAAUCCGUAUGCAUAUAAACCCGAACCCGUGCAGUAAUGCCGGGCUAGGUGUGUAUGCUGAUUUAUCAGUGUGCACGGCCGAGAGUAAGUGUGUGCUUAAAUGUGUGUGCGCUUACCCAAAGCCAAAUAGACGCUUGUAUGUUUUGACAGAUCUAGUUGACAACAAAAAAUUGACAACUUUUAACAAUGGAUCUCUUGGCUCUUGCAUCGAUGAAGAACGCAGC
rnacentral:misc_RNA from 1 species